AUUGAGUUAAAUACGGUUAAUUCUAGGGCGUGUUUGAUUCGCUUCUUUUUUACCUUAAAAUCGGAAUCGAAAUGUGCGAAUCCGUUUGUUGGUGUUUGGUAUAUGGGAGUUCCAUUCCGAUUCCGAUUUCCGAGUGGAAUGGGAAUCCUCCAAUCACCUAUUUUUUCAAUCCGGCCUAGGAGGCCGGAUUGAAAGUUGAAUCCGGACGUAAUGAAUAUUUAUUUGGAUUAAAUUUAUUUUUUCAACUUUUUAAUUAAAAUAUGAGUUUAAAUUUAGAAAUUAAAUAUAUAAUUAUAAAUUUUAAUUUGA
rnacentral:lncRNA from 1 species